rnacentral:rRNA from 1 species
UUGAACGCUGGUGGCAGGCCUAACACAUGCCAGUCGAGCGCGAAAGUUCUUCGGAAUGAGUAAAGCGGCGGACGGGUGAGUAACGCGUGGGAAUCUGCCUAGUAGAGGGGGACAACAGCCGGAAACGGCUGCUAAUACCGCAUACGCCCUACGGGGGAAAGGGGGGGAUCUUCGGACCUCUCGCUAUUAGAUGAGCCCGCGUCGGGUUAGCUAGUUGGUAGGGUAAAGGCCUACCAAGGCUACGAUCCGUAACUGGUCUGAGAGGAUGAUCAGUCACACUGGAACUGAGACACGGUCCAGACUCCUACGGGAGGCAGCAGUGGGGAAUAUUGGACAAUGGGGGCAACCCUGAUCCAGCCAUGCCGCGUGUGUGAAGAAGGCCUUAGGGUUGUAAAGCACUUUCAGUGGGGAGAAAGGUUUGUCACCUAAUACGUGAUGAAAUUGAUGUUACCCACAGAAGAAGCACCGGCUAACUCCGUGCCAGCCGCCGCCGUAA